GGCUACACACGUGCUACAAUGGGUAGUACAGAGAGUCGCAAAGCCGCGAGGUGGAGCUAAUCUCAGAAAACUAUUCUUAGUUCGGAUUGUACUCUGCAACUCGAGUACAUGAAGUUGGAAUCGCUAGUAAUCGCGAAUCAGCAAUGUCGCGGUGAAUACGCUCUCGGGUCUUGUACACACCGCCCGUCACACCACGAGAGUUGGUUGCACCUGAAGUAGCAGGCCUAACCGCAAGGAGGGAUGCUCCGAGGGUGUGAUUAGCGAUUGGGGUGAAGUCGUAACAAGGUAUCCGUACGGGAACGU
rnacentral:rRNA from 1 species